rnacentral:rRNA from 1 species
UACGAAGGGUGCAAGCGUUACUCGGAAUUACUGGGCGUAAAGCGUGCGUAGGCGGUUUGUUAAGUCUGUCGUGAAAGCCCCGGGCUCAACCUGGGAAUGGCGAUGGAAACUGGCGAGCUAGAGUACGGUAGAGGAGAGGGGAAUUCCCGGUGUAGCAGUGAAAUGCGUAGAGAUCGGGAGGAACAUCAGUUGCGAAGGCGGCUCUCUGGACCAGUACUGACGCUGAGGCACGAAAGCGUGGGGAGCAAACAGG